rnacentral:lncRNA from 1 species
GGUAAUUGAUGAGUAGGAGAAAUUAAACAUUUUAAUGACAUACAAUAAUAGUUGAUACAAAUUUUUUGAUGCAUAGAUGGGACAUAAACGCCAUGGAUUCAUUACCGCCAUAUAUGAGACCUUUUUAUCAAGCCAUUCUGGAUAUCUUCGAUGAAAUGGAGGAAGAAUUGACCAAAGAAGGUAAAUCAGACCGCGUUUACUAUGGUAAAUUUGAGGUAAUCCUCGCUUUCUUUGCCUCAUUAAUCGAUUAAACUUGUAAAUUCUAGAGAAAUAACAAAAAUAUUGGCAUGAAAAAUGCAUACUUAUGGUAUGUCGUGCUAUUUUUGUGUUUUCGUUUUAGAUGAAAAAGUUGGCUAGGGCCUAUUUUAAAGAAGCGCAAUGGUUAAAUGCUGGCUAUAUUCCAAAUUGUGACGAGUAUAUAAAAAAUGCAGUUGUAAGCACUACCUUUAUGGCGCUUGGAACAGCUUCUUUGAUUGGUAUGGAGGAAUUCAUGAUAACAAAAGACAUUUUUGAAUGGAUAAAAAAUGAGCCUUCGAUUCUUCGAGCUUCAUCAACUAUCUGCAGAUUAAUGGACGAUAUUAGUGAUCAUGAAGUAAGUACAAUAAAUGAUAUUAGUACAUUUUCUUAAGUCAUGAUCAUGUCUUGCAUGUUUUCCUCGAAUUUCAUCAGUUCCAGGAUCAAGUGCAAAACAUAAAAUGUGAUGAGUAAAUAGAAAAUUAUAUUGAAGAUAUUGAAUUUCUAUUUGAUGUAGACUGACCAACAAAGAGGACAUGUAGCUUCUGUCAUUGAAUGCUAUAUGAACGAAUAUGGAGCUUCAAAGCAAGAGGCCUAUGUUAAGUUUCGGAAGGAAGUCAAGAAUGCAUGGAAAGACAUAAACAAGGCAUUACUACGCCCUAUUGAAGUACCAAUAUUUGUUCUCGAACGAAUUUUAAAUCUUGCACGGACAAUGGAUACUUUUUUCCAAGAUGAAGAAGAUGGAUAUACAAAUUCCAAUUCCAAAUGUAAAGACAUUAUUACCUUGUUGCUUGUUGAUUCUGUUACUAUAUGACGAUCAUAAUGUGUAUGCACCAUUGGACAAAGCAUUUGGAGCAAAUGUGGAAACAUUUUGCAUCUUUAUAUUUAUAAUUAAUUGGUUUAUGUUUGCUUUCAGAAAAAAAUAGAUAAAGAAAAAGGCAAGUUCAACAAUCUUUUUUCCCCAAAAAUUAGGGGUGAUAUGGUUAAAUGGCCCUCUAAUAAGGCUGUAUUGAAACUUUUGGUUGGUUAACUUAUUGGUCCCACUCACUCAGUAUACUAAAAAUAAUUUUUAGCGGUAAUUGAUCAACGAUAAUAUUUUAAUUACAGUUAAGUAUGUCUUUGUAGAGAUAAUUAUUCGUGACAAUUAUAUUAUAGCACUCUUUGUAAAUGCGUUAAAACCUAUAGCGACAUUGGAUCCAAUGACAAUUAACUCGUGUCGGUAAAGAUUUUAACACUCUUUGCUAAUAUGUAUAUUUACUAUUAUCAAUAAAAAAUAUUUUUGUCGUAAUGACUUAUGGUUCAUGGUUUGUGCAGUAGUUAGAUUUGCAUUUGAAUACUAGAUCGCCCAAGUAGUAUUAAAUUUUAUAAAAGGGAGAUCCUUGUGUAAUCAUAGAUUGCUUAUGUGAGAUAUGAUUGUUUUGGUGAUUGGAUGAUUGGAGGAGCACAUCUUAUCUAUUUCUGAGUUGUUGAGAGUUCGAUUCUUUGCUCUCUAAUUUUACACUACAAGGCAAGUUUUUAACUCUCCAGUAUUAUUAUUGUAUUCCAUGAAUUAUGUACCAAAAUGAAAAAUUGAAUAUAUUAGGCUAUUGAACCAUAAGUUUCCGAUAAAUUCCCGGAAAGAAACUUAUAUAGGCUACUUCCUUUCCUUUUUAUCAAUCUCUUUUGCUCGUUAGAGACAAGGUCCAUGUCCCACCCUAAUCUUUUGUAACUAUUUCUACGUAUAUGUCACAUAGUAAGGGUCUAGCCAAACCCCCUACACCCCUAGGCUCACAAUCUCUUUUUUUUAAAUCCUCCCUAGGAGCUCCCACCCCCUUUUUGCUCUCUUGGUGACUCGAACUCGCAACCUUUGAGUUGAAAGUAAGGGGUGCUUACCAUGACUUUUUACGUAAAAAAUAAUCUCAAUUACCAUGAAGCAUAUACGUAGUAUAUAAAAAGUUUAUUACUCAAAUUAAGAGGCUCUCUAAAGGACUUUAUAUAGGCUUAGAAAUUCUAAGAAGUAAGAUUUUCAAUACAUUAAUAUUCUCCAUCGUUCUUAUAAUUUGUGGCGUUUAUAUACAAAUCAUUCGCUUUUGAUGCAGUUAUUUCCAUGUGUUUCAGUCAUAUCCAAAUCUUUUGGAUUAACUCCAUAUGGGAGUUCCCAUUCAAAGUGGCGGAGUAACUGAGCCAAAGGAAGUCCAACAUUAGCUAAACCGAAUUGUAUUCCUGGACACAUCCUUCUUCCUGCACCAAACGGGAUAAACCACCGCACACCGAUUUCCCAUAAAGUCAACCGAAGAAUUCUCGAAUCUCUUUGGUAUAAAACUGUCAAUAUUGACUAAAUACAAUGUCUUUAUUAUUAUAAAAUAUAAUGUUUGUGGAUAUACACAAAUUGUGGCCUAUGAGCAAAAGCGAGAUUUUGAGUUCUUAGGAUUUCUUGUGCAAUAGUAGGUGAUGAUAUGACCGCAAUAGGAGUAGUACAUAAUUCAUAUUGACUAAAUACAAUGUCUUUAUUAUUAUAAAAUAUAAUGUUUGUGGAUAUACACAAAUUGUGGCCUAUGAGCAAAAGCGAGAUUUUGAGUUCUUAGGAUUUCUUGUGCAAUAGUAGGUGAUGAUAUGACCGCAAUAGGAGUAGUACAUAAUUCAUAUUGACUAAAUACAAUGUCUUUAUUAUUAUAAAAUAUAAUGUUUGUGGAUAUACACAAAUUGUGGCCUAUGAGCAAAAGCGAGAUUUUGAGUUCUUAGGAUUUCUUGUGCAAUAGUAGGUGAUGAUAUGACCGCAAUAGGAGUAGUACAUAAUUCAUAUUGACUAAAUACAAUGUCUUUAUUAUUAUAAAAUAUAAUGUUUGUGGAUAUACACAAAUUGUGGCCUAUGAGCAAAAGCGAGAUUUUGAGUUCUUAGGAUUUCUUGUGCAAUAGUAGGUGAUGAUAUGACCGCAAUAGGAGUAGUACAUAAUUCAUAUUGACUAAAUACAAUGUCUUUAUUAUUAUAAAAUAUAAUGUUUGUGGAUAUACACAAAUUGUGGCCUAUGAGCAAAAGCGAGAUUUUGAGUUCUUAGGAUUUCUUGUGCAAUAGUAGGUGAUGAUAUGACCGCAAUAGGAGUAGUACAUAAUUCAUAUUGACUAAAUACAAUGUCUUUAUUAUUAUAAAAUAUAAUGUUUGUGGAUAUACACAAAUUGUGGCCUAUGAGCAAAAGCGAGAUUUUGAGUUCUUAGGAUUUCUUGUGCAAUAGUAGGUGAUGAUAUGACCGCAAUAGGAGUAGUACAUAAUUCAUAUUGACUAAAUACAAUGUCUUUAUUAUUAUAAAAUAUAAUGUUUGUGGAUAUACACAAAUUGUGGCCUAUGAGCAAAAGCGAGAUUUUGAGUUCUUAGGAUUUCUUGUGCAAUAGUAGGUGAUGAUAUGACCGCAAUAGGAGUAGUACAUAAUUCAUAUUGACUAAAUACAAUGUCUUUAUUAUUAUAAAAUAUAAUGUUUGUGGAUAUACACAAAUUGUGGCCUAUGAGCAAAAGCGAGAUUUUGAGUUCUUAGGAUUUCUUGUGCAAUAGUAGGUGAUGAUAUGACCGCAAUAGGAGUAGUACAUAAUUCAUAUUGACUAAAUACAAUGUCUUUAUUAUUAUAAAAUAUAAUGUUUGUGGAUAUACACAAAUUGUGGCCUAUGAGCAAAAGCGAGAUUUUGAGUUCUUAGGAUUUCUUGUGCAAUAGUAGGUGAUGAUAUGACCGCAAUAGGAGUAGUACAUAAUUCAUAUUGACUAAAUACAAUGUCUUUAUUAUUAUAAAAUAUAAUGUUUGUGGAUAUACACAAAUUGUGGCCUAUGAGCAAAAGCGAGAUUUUGAGUUCUUAGGAUUUCUUGUGCAAUAGUAGGUGAUGAUAUGACCGCAAUAGGAGUAGUACAUAAUUCAUAUUGACUAAAUACAAUGUCUUUAUUAUUAUAAAAUAUAAUGUUUGUGGAUAUACACAAAUUGUGGCCUAUGAGCAAAAGCGAGAUUUUGAGUUCUUAGGAUUUCUUGUGCAAUAGUAGGUGAUGAUAUGACCGCAAUAGGAGUAGUACAUAAUUCAUAUUGACUAAAUACAAUGUCUUUAUUAUUAUAAAAUAUAAUGUUUGUGGAUAUACACAAAUUGUGGCCUAUGAGCAAAAGCGAGAUUUUGAGUUCUUAGGAUUUCUUGUGCAAUAGUAGGUGAUGAUAUGACCGCAAUAGGAGUAGUACAUAAUUCAUAUUGACUAAAUACAAUGUCUUUAUUAUUAUAAAAUAUAAUGUUUGUGGAUAUACACAAAUUGUGGCCUAUGAGCAAAAGCGAGAUUUUGAGUUCUUAGGAUUUCUUGUGCAAUAGUAGGUGAUGAUAUGACCGCAAUAGGAGUAGUACAUAAUUCAUAUUGACUAAAUACAAUGUCUUUAUUAUUAUAAAAUAUAAUGUUUGUGGAUAUACACAAAUUGUGGCCUAUGAGCAAAAGCGAGAUUUUGAGUUCUUAGGAUUUCUUGUGCAAUAGUAGGUGAUGAUAUGACCGCAAUAGGAGUAGUACAUAAUUCAUAUUGACUAAAUACAAUGUCUUUAUUAUUAUAAAAUAUAAUGUUUGUGGAUAUACACAAAUUGUGGCCUAUGAGCAAAAGCGAGAUUUUGAGUUCUUAGGAUUUCUUGUGCAAUAGUAGGUGAUGAUAUGACCGCAAUAGGAGUAGUACAUAAUUCAUAUUGACUAAAUACAAUGUCUUUAUUAUUAUAAAAUAUAAUGUUUGUGGAUAUACACAAAUUGUGGCCUAUCAAAAUCUCUUAGGAUUUCUUGUGCUUGUGCAAUAGUAGGUGAUGAUAUGACUGCAAUAGGAGUAGUACAUAACUCAUAUUGACUAAAUACAAUGUCUUUAUUAUUAUAAAAUAUAAUGUUUGUGGAUAUACACAAAUUGUGGCCUAUGAGCAAAAGCGAGAUUUUGAGUUCUUAGGAUUUCUUGUGCAAUAGUAGGUGAUGAUAUGACCGCAAUAGGAGUAGUACAUAAUUCUAGGAGAAUGGUUUGAGAAUAAUUAAAAGGACUAAUAGAAAGUAACAUUUUAUUUAUGCCCUAAAGUAUUUUUCUUAAGGGGCGUGUCAUAUCCCAACAAUUCACUUAAUAUAGACUAAAGGAAGUAUUAGUCCACCUUCUAUUUUGCAUAAAAUAAUAUAUACAUAUAUAGAUGUUCUCAUAAGUCAGCUUAUACAUGUAUUAAUUUGUGCGGAUUUCUAAAUUCUAAACCCAACACUGUAUUAAAUUUAGAUAAGAAUAAAUUACCUCUUAACCAACUACCAAUAGUACUCUUUAUAUACGCCACUUAUAAUGCAAAAUCUGAUACCUGCAUAACAACUUACCUCCAAACCAACUACCGAACGUCCGUCCUUCAGCAUAACAACCUAGAGAAAAUGAACUAGAGAGCCCCUUUUUGGAGGUGUGUGUCUAUCUAUAUAUGUUUGUGUGAGAGACUGGGUAUGAGUGGAACGAUGGCCGCAUUUUCAAUGUAUCCUCACAGCUUGAUAAACUUUAAUAUUUGGAGAUACACUUGUGAACCCAAAGUACACUCUUUAAAGAGAAAAUUAAUGAUCCCAUUAUUAGCAAUGGAUGCUAAUUCUUCACGUCAUUUGGCUAAUUUUCAUUCAAAUGUUUGGGGAUACAAUUUCCUUUCUUACACUUCUCAACUCACCGUAUGUACUCACAAAUAUAUAUAUAUAUUAAUAUUAUGUUUGAAUUUGUCAAAACUAAUACAUUAUAUGCUAAUUUUUUUUUGCCUAUACAGGAAAUUACUACUCAAGAAAAACUUGAAGUUGAUGAGUACAAAGAAAAAGUCAUGAACAUGUUGAUGGAAAUUCAUGACAAUAGUACACAAAAACUUGUGUUGAUAGACACAAUCCAACGAUUGGGAGUAUCAUAUCAUUUCCAUAAUGAAAUCGAAACAUCCAUUCAGAACAUUUUUGAUGCAUCGUCCCAACAUAGUGAGAAUAAUGACAACCUUCACGUUGUUUCUCUUCGUAUUCGACUUGUGAGACAACAAGGCCAUUACAUCUCUUCUGGUACUUAUUUAUGCUCUAUCGCUGCACUUAUUGUUUUUUAGUGGUUAUUUAAAUACUUUUUUCGUUUCAAUUUGUUUCUGAAUUUGAUUUAAUACGGAAUUUAAGAAAAUAGGUGAGUAAUAUAUUUAGAGCUUCCACCUAUAGUUUUCUCUACUACUACUACUACUACUACUUGAGAGCUCAUGAAACUCCUUUAGACAUAAAGAAGCUCAUGAAACUACUCUAUACGUUUUGCUUUUCGAGAGUAUAUUGUAUGGACUUUGACCAAUAUCUUAAAAUGUCCCUUUUUAAAUUAUAUUAAUAUGAGAAGAAUUACAACUUAUAAUUAUAUUGACCGAUAAAACAAUACGUGAUAAGUAAAAAUAAAUUAGAGGGGAUAAUAUUAACAUGUCAGAUAAAAUGUUAGAAAUUAAAAAAUUUCUAAAUUAGGAAAAAGACGUUAUUGAUAGAGUUAUAGUUCAUGAGAAAGAGAUAAUUAGUCAUCUCUGGCGUGGUAGAGCGUGAGUUCAUGUGAAAGAGACAAGUUCAACUCAGCCACAAACCUAUUUAUGUUGGGGUCCAUUUCACGUGGCCGGACUCACUAACUAGUACUUUCUCCGUCUCAAUUUAUAUAAUAUAAUUUGAUUUGAUACGAAAUUUAAGAAAUAAAAAAUUUUGAAUUUUGUAGUCUAAAAUAAGUUAUAGAUUUUUGUGUGGUUAUAAAUCAUUUUAUUUAGAGUAAAAUAAGUAUUUUAAAGUCAAUUUACCCACAAAUAUAAAACUUCAAACCAAAACCUAUAUAUAAAUUCUAAAUUCGCCUGUAAUUUAACCAGAUGUAUUCAAGCAAUUUGUGGAGCGCGAUGGAAAAUUCAAGAAAACUCUUAAUAAUGAUGUCCAAGCAUUAUUAAGUUUGUAUGAAGCAGCACAAAUGAGAGUGCACGGGGAGGAUAUUCUCGAAGAAGCUCUUACUUUUACCACUACUCAUCUUGAGUCCAUGAUCCCCAUGUUAAACAAUCCACUCAAGGCUCAAAUUAUUGAAGCCUUAAGCCACCCUAUACACAAAGUUAUACCAAGAUUGGGAGCAAGAAAAUACAUAGACAUUUAUGAAAACAUGGAAUCACACAACCAUUUGCUUUUAAAAUUUUCCAAAUUGGACUUUAACAUGUUGCAAAAGCAGCAUCAAAGAGAGCUUAGCGAGCUUACAAGGUACGUACAUACACCAUUGAUCUUAUGUUCCUCUUUAAUUAAUUGGUAUAAUACGCGAGCCAUAAAAUAUAAUAAUCUUGUAUUGCACGCUCUUGUGAUGUAUAUAUAGCUGGUGGAAAGAUCUGGAUCUUGAUAAAAUAUAAUAAUCUUGUAUUGUGCUCUCUUGUGAUGUAUAUAUAGCUGGUGGAAAGAUCUGGAUCUUGCAAGCAAAGUGCCAUAUGCAAGAGACAAAUUAGUUGAGGGUUACACAUGGACAUUGGGAUUGUAUUUCGAGCCUAAGUAUAGUCGUGCAAGAAGAAUGUUAGUAAAAGUAUUCAAAAUGCUCUCAAUCUGUGAUGACACUUAUGAUGCAUAUGCAACUUUUGAUGAACUUGUGCUUUUCACCAAUGCAAUACAGAGGUAAUUGAUGAGUAGGAGAAAUUAAACAUUUUAAUGACAUACAAUAAUAGUUGAUACAAGUUUUUUGAUGCAUAGAUGGGACAUAAACGCCAUGGAUUCAUUACCGCCAUAUAUGAGACCUUUUUAUCAAGCCAUUCUGGAUAUCUUCGAUGAAAUGGAGGAAGAAUUGACCAAAGAAGGUAAAUCAGACCGCGUUUACUAUGGUAAAUUUGAGGUAACCCUCGUGAUCUUUGCCUC